GUGAAUCAUCAAAUUUUUGAACGCAAAUUGCACUCUCUUCGGAGAGUAUGCCUGUUUGAGGGUCAGCCUAUAAAAAUCGACAUCGUUGCUGUUUCUCAGUGGGGUUUGUCGGGAAUUGGGUCAUAUUAAAUACUUUUGAUUUUAGAGACUUUAAAUUUUUUUUUGUUUUCAUGAACGUUUCUAAGAUCUAUUUCUUUAUACGUUUAUGGUAUCGUUUUUACUUGACGUGACCAUGAUAUUGGUUG
rnacentral:misc_RNA from 1 species